GAUGAACGCUGGCGGCGUGCUUAACACAUGCAAGUCGAACGGAAAGGCCCAAGCUUGCUUGGUUACUCGAGUGGCGAACGGGUGAGUAACACGUUGGUGAUCUGCCCUGCACUUCGGGAUAAGCCUGGGAAACUGGGUCUAAUACCGGAUAGGACGAUGGUUUGGAUGCCAUUGUGGAAAGUUUUUUCGGUGUGGGAUGAGCUCGCGGCCUAUCAGCUUUUUGGUGGGGUAAUGGCCUACCAAGGCGUCGACGGGUAGCCGACCUGUGAGGGUGUACGGAAAGAGUAGGAUUGGGAUGAAGCCCAGAAGCCUACAGGAGGCAGAAGUGGGGAAUAUUGAACAAAGAGCGCAAGCCUGAUGCAGCGACGCCGCGUGGGGGAGGACGGCCUUCGGGUUGUAAACACCUUUCGCUAGGAAAGAAGCGAUUUUGUGACGGUACCUGGAGAAGAAGCACCGGAUAACUACGUG
rnacentral:rRNA from 1 species